rnacentral:rRNA from 1 species
UGGGGAAUAUUGCACAAUGGGCGCAAGCCUGAUGCAGCCAUGCCGCGUGUGUGAAGAAGGCCUUUGGGUUGUAAAGCACUUUCAGCGAGGAGGAAGGGUAGUGUGUUAAUAGCACAUUGCAUUGACGUUACUCGCAGAAGAAGCACCGGCUAACUCCGUGCCAGCAGCCGCGGUAAUACGGAGGGUGCAAGCGUUAAUCGGAAUUACUGGGCGUAAAGCGCACGCAGGCGGUUUGUUAAGUCAGAUGUGAAAUCCCCGCGCUUAACGUGGGAACUGCAUUG